UUCCCUACGGGGGGCUGCAGUGGGGAAUCUUGCACAAUGGGCGACAGCCUGAUGCAGCAAUGCCGCGUGAGGGAAGACGGCCUUCGGGUUGUAAACCUCUUUCAGUUGGGAUGAAGGUUGGACGGUGAAUAGCCGCGCCAACUGACCGUACCUUCAGAAGAAGCUCCGGCUAACUACGUGCCAGCAGCCGCGGUAAUACGUAGGGGGCGAGCGUUGUCCGGAAUCAUUGGGCGUAAAGCGCGUGUAGGCGGUUUCGUAAGUCUGCUGUGAAAGUCGGAGGCUCAACCUUCGAAUGCCAGUGGAUACUGUGAGACUUGAGUCCGGAAGAGGAGAGUGGAAUUCCUGGUGUAGCGGUGAAAUGCGCAGAUAUCAGGAGGAACACCAACGGCGAAGGCAGCUCUCUGGGACGGUACUGACGCUGAGACGCGAAAGCGUGGGGAGCAAACAGGAUUAGAUACCCUGGUAGUCACA
rnacentral:rRNA from 1 species